rnacentral:tRNA from 2 species
GUGCCCAUAGCUCAAUUGGUUAGAGCACUGGUCUGUGGAACCAGGGGUUGUGGGUUCAAGUCCCAUUGGGCACC